UGCCUACGGGGGGCAGCAGUGGGGAAUAUUGGGCAAUGGGCGCAAGCCUGACCCAGCAACGCCGCGUGAAGGAAGAAGGCCCUCGGGUUGUAAACUUCUUUUAUCAAGGACGAAACAAAUGACGGUACUUGAUGAAUAAGCCACGGCUAACUACGUGCCAGCAGCCGCGGUAAUACGGAGGAUGCGAGCGUUAUCCGGAUUUAUUGGGUUUAAAGGGUGCGUAGGCGGGCUUUUAAGUCAGCGGUAAAAAUUCGGGGCUCAACCCCGUCCGGCCGUUGAAACUGGGGGCCUUGAGUGGGCGAGAA
rnacentral:rRNA from 1 species